GAUGAACGCUGGCGGCGUGCCUAAUACAUGCAAGUAGAACGCUGAAGGAGGAGCUUGCUCUUCUGGAUGAGUUGCGAACGGGUGAGUAACGCGUAGGUAACCUGCCUGGUAGCGGGGGAUAACUAUUGGAAACGAUAGCUAAUACCGCAUGACAACAGUUAUUGCAUGAUAACUGUUUAAAAGGGGCAACUGCUCCACUACCAGAUGGACCUGCGUUGUAUUAGCUAGUUGGUGAGGUAACGGCUCACCAAGGCGACGAUACAUAGCCGACCUGAGAGGGGGUUCGGCCACACUGGGACUGGGACACGGCCCAGAAUCCUACGGGAGGCAGCAGUAGGGAAUCUUCGGCAAUGGACGGAAGUCUGAACGAGCAACGCCGCGUGAGUGAAGAAGGUUUUCGGAUCGUAAAGCUCUGUUGUAAGAGAAGAACGAGUGUGAGAGUGGAAAGUUCACACUGUGACGGUAUCUUACCAGAAAGGGACGGCUAACUACGUG
rnacentral:rRNA from 1 species